CCUGAGAAACCCAAAAGAUCGAAUGGGGAGAUUCAUCGUCAGCUCAUUUUAUAUAUAUGCUAGUUAUGAUAUGGGYUACUACUUGUAGUAUUGCCUGUACAUUCUUGUAUAUUUAUUUGUAAGAUGUUGUCGGCGUGCACUUCUCCCCUAGUAGGACGUCGCGACCCGUUGAGUUUGUUGGUCUACGGCCCAAGUGGGAGCUUUUAAUGAAUUUUAUUCAUUGAAAACCCUUGGUGUUACCUGACUGGCGCUCGUCGGUAUUCGUAUGGUAUUGAGCCGCAUAUUAUAUGCGUCCAUAUCUGUCGCAAGCGAGGUUAGUUACUGAUAGUGCGGACCUAGUGCCGUCGUUGGUGCUAAUCAGCUGUUGGCUGUACAGAAUUCUAGGACUGGCUCGUUGAAAUACCGGUCAGCGAUGCUACUGCUUUGGGUACUUUCAGGACCCGUCUUGAAACACGGACCAAGGAGUCUAACAUGUACGCGAGUCAUUGGGAUUUUUAUAAAUUAAACCUAAAGGCGUAAUGAAAGUAAAGGUCGUCCUUGUGUCGACUAAGGGAGGAUAAGCUGUGUUACGAGACAGCUUCGCACUCUCGGGGCGUCUCAUUCUCAUUGCGAGAAGAGGCGCACCUAG
rnacentral:rRNA from 1 species